CAGCAGUCGCCGCGGUAAUACGGAGGGUGCAAGCGUUAAUCGGAAUUACUGGGCGUAAAGCGCACGCAGGCGGUUUGUUAAGUCAGAUGUGAAAUCCCCGAGCUUAACUUGGGAACUGCAUUUGAAACUGGCAAGCUAGAGUCUUGUAGAGGGGGGUAGAAUUCCAGGUGUAGCGGUGAAAUGCGUAGAGAUCUGGAGGAAUACCGGUGGCGAAGGCGGCCCCCUGGACAAAGACUGACGCUCAGGUGCGAAAGCGUGGGGAGCAAACAGGAUUAGAUACCCGAGUAGUCCCUGUCUCUUAUAC
rnacentral:rRNA from 1 species